rnacentral:lncRNA from 1 species
CUGCCAGCUUUUGAUGAGAAGUUAGUCCUAUUGUUCAUAGCACAUUUAUUGUCCACACAAUUUUUCUGUCUAUAGAGUAUACAACAGAUUAGAUGCAUUUCCUGGUCAAGUGGACUGGCAACGUGCAUCCAUGUAUGCUGUUGAGCCUGAAAAAGAGAACAUGUGUUCUUCAUUUUAAAGGAAUAAUAUUUUAUUCGCCACUGCAAAUGUCUCUAAUCAGAAAAACGCCAUCGCAAAAGAACUAAUCCGAAAUAUAUCAAUAUUACCCUCAUCUUGUACAUCCGGUCAUUCUAGGCUUCUAGCUCUGCCUCUAUUCUUGUGUAGUUAUAUCUAUCCUCCUCAAAAGAACAGAGCAAUACAAUACCGCCCAUCUCACUCUACUCCCAUAAGAAGCACGGUGAACGAGACAUGGUGAGCUCCCUCUCUGCUG